GAAAUUUGAUCACAGAUAUUUACGGAAAAUCCUGAUUCGAGAAAACCAGCCCAAAUCAAGCAUUGUUUCUUUGUACAAGAAGCUGGAAAUGAAACAAGCUAUUGAGAUGGCGGAGACCGGGAUCCUAAGCUCGACAGCUUUUUCGGGACCCCAUGAGGCCCAGAGGACACAAGGAAUCAAAAGGCUUUCCCCUGAAGAUGUGGAGUCCAUGUGGGACCUUCUGACACGCAACAUGUACCAAGUUUGACAGAGGGUGUGUAUCAGCCACCUGCACUGUUCCUAUGACCCUGUCCUACAAUAAAUACAACCUCAAACCCCAAACAAGUGAGAAGCAGGCUAAAGAGAUUCUGAUCCGCCGCCAGAACACUCUAAGGGAAAGCAAGAGGAAAGCCCACAGCCUGCCCUGGGCAAAGCCGGCUGGCACCAAGAACAUCCACUACCUCUCCUUUCCCUACAGCAACCCCCAGCCAGCGAGAGGUGUGAGGGCUGCUGAAUUCACAGAUAAGGACAGCAGCCAUCCCAGAUUCCCGUCCAUCACGUUCGGUGCACACGCUCCAGCAGGGUUUCUUCAGGAAAGACGACUGACACAAGAAAUAAUCCUGAUGCGGAGC